ensembl:snoRNA Gm25668 small nucleolar RNA SNORA17
AAAGCCUAGAGGUGUUACAGAUGUGGCUGCAGUGUCACAUGCGUGUCAGUAGGUGGCAGAGAGGACAGAAGGCCAUGUCAAUGUUCAGUGUUCUGACUGUGGACAUCUGAAUGAUCAGAAGCUUAAUACU